AUUGAACGCUGGCGGCAGGCCUAACACAUGCAAGUCGAACGAGUGGCGGACGGGUGAGUAAUGUCUGGGAAACUGCCCGAUGGAGGGGGAUAACUAAUGGAAACGGUAGCUAAUACCGCAUACCAUCGGAUGUGCCCAGUUGGGAUUAGCUAGUGGGUGGGGUAAAGGCUCACCUAGGCGACGAUCCCUAGCUGGUCUGAGAGGAUGAACAGCGACACUGGGACGUGGACCCGGUCCAGACGCCUACGGGAGGCAGGAGUGGGGAAUAUUGCACAAUGGGGGCAAGCCUGAUGCAGCCAUGCCGCGUGUAUGAAGAAGGCCUUCGGGUUGUAAAGUACUUUCAUCGAGGAGGCGUUACGCGCAGAAGAAGCACCGGCUAACUCCGUGCCAGCAGCCGCGGUAAUAC
rnacentral:rRNA from 1 species